rnacentral:rRNA from 1 species
AAGACCUUGCGUUUUUGGAGCGGCCGAUGUCUGAUUAGCUAGUUGGUGGGGUAAUGGCCUACCAAGGCCUCGAUCAGUAGCUGGUCUGAGAGGACGGCCAGCCACACUGGGACUGAGACACGGCCCAGACUCCUACGGGAGGCAGCAGUGGGGAAUUUUGGACAAUGGGCGCAAGCCUGAUCCAGCCAUGCCGCGUGAGUGAAGAAGGCCUUCGGGUUGUAAAGCUCUUUCAGCCGAGAAGAAAAGAUUGCGACUAAUAAUCGCAAUUCAUGACGGUACCGGCAGAAGAAGCACCGGCUAACUACGUGCCAGCAGCCGCGGUAAUACGUAGGGUGCGAGCGUUAAUCGGAAUUACUGGGCGUAAAGGGUGCGCAGGCGGUUUUGUAAGUCAGAUGUGAAAUCCCCGGGCUUAACCUGGGAACU